UUGAACGCUGGCGGCAUGCCUUACACAUGCAAGUCGAACGGUAACAGGUCUUCGGAUGCUGACGAGUGGCGACCGGGUGAGUAAUACAUCGGAACGUGCCCGAUCGUGGGGGAUAACGAGGCGAAAGCUUUGCUAAUACCGCAUACGAUCUACGGAUGAAAGCGGGGGAUCUUCGGACCUCGCGCGGACGGAGCGGCCGAUGGCAGAUUAGGUAGUUGGUGGGAUAAAAGCUUACCAAGCCGACGAUCUGUAGCUGGUCUGAGAGGAUGAUCAGCCACACUGGGACUGAGACACGGCCCAGACUCCUACGGGAGGCAGCAGUGGGGAAUUUUGGACAAUGGGCGAAAGCCUGAUCCAGCCAUGCCGCGUGCAGGAUGAAGGCCUUUGGGUUGUAAACUGCUUUUGUACGGAACGAAAAGCCUCUUUCUAAUAAAGAGGGGUCAUGACGGUACCGUAAGAAUAAGCACCGGCUAACUACGUG
rnacentral:rRNA from 1 species